UACGGAAGAUGCGAGCGUUAUCCGGAUUUAUUGGGUUUAAAGGGAGCGUAGGCGGUUCCAUAAGUCAGCGGUAAAAUCGUGCGGCUCAACCGUACCGUGCCGUUGAAACUGUGGGACUUGAGUAUGCGCAGGGUACAUGGAAUUCGUGGUGUAGCGGUGAAAUGCUUAGAUAUCACGAAGAACUCCAAUCGCGAAGGCAUUGUACCGGAGCAAGACUGACGCUGAGGCUCGAAAGUGCGGGUAUCAAACAGG
rnacentral:misc_RNA from 1 species